CCUGCCGGGCGGCCGCGUGCAUGUUCGCAUGUACGAGGAAAGUCCGAGCUCGAUAGGACAUCGGUGGUGGGUAACACCCACCCGCAUGGUUGGCGACGAUCAUGCGAGGGAUAGCGCCACAGAAAUAAUACCGCCUUGCUUUGCAAGGUAAGGGUGAAAUGGUGCGGUAAGAGCGCACCGCUGAUCUGGUGACAGAUUAGGCAUGGCAAGCCCCACCGCGUGCAAGACCAAGCAGUCUCCAGUUGCUCCGCAACGCGCUCUGUCCGGGCGUAAUGGGGACGGGUAGGUUGCUUGAGCCUGCUGGCAACAGCAGGCCUAGAGAAAUGGUCGCCACCCUCAACGGGUACAGAACUCGGCUUACAAGC
rnacentral:RNase_P_RNA from 1 species